UAGCACCGCUGGUGCUCGAGUUGUAAUUUGUAGAGUGGAUCCUUGGGGCCGUUCCUUGCCUAUGUUCCUUGGAACAGGACGUCAUGGAGGGUGAGAACCCCGUGUGGCGAGGGGCGCGGCUCCGUGUAAGGGCUGCUCGAAGAGUCGAGUUGUUUGGGAAUGCAGCUCUAAGUGGGUGGUAAAUUCCAUCUAAAGCUAAAUACAGGCGAGAGACCGAUAGCGAACAAGUACAGUGAUGGAAAGAUGAAAAGAACUUUGAAAAGAGAGUGAAAAAGUACGUGAAAUUGUUGAAAGGGAAGGGCAUUUGAUCAGACAUGGUGUUUUGCGCCCCCUGCUCCUUGUGGGCGGGGGACCCUCGCAGCUCACUGGGCCAGCAUCAGUUUUGGCGGCUGGAUAAAACCGGAGGAAUGUGGCUUCUCUCGGGAAGUGUUAUAGCCUGCGGGAAUGCG
rnacentral:rRNA from 1 species